CUGCACCUGUAUCAUGGCCUUCCUUAUUCUGAUAGCAAGGCCUGGAGCUAGGGUGCAUAGAGAAAAAGUUGAUCUACUAUCAGCUGGUAGGCAACUGUAGAGAUGGAUCCACAGAUGAAUGGUUACAAUUAUCACUUGUUUACUGGUUCCAUCUCACAUUU